ACGAACGCUGGCGGCGUGCCUAAUACAUGCAAGUCGCACGCUUCUUUCCUCCCGAGUGCUUGCACUCAAUUGGAAAGAGGAGUGGCGGACGGGUGAGUAACACGUGGGUAACCUACCCAUCAGAGGGGGAUAACACUUGGAAACAGGUGCUAAUACCGCAUAACAGUUUAUGCCGCAUGGCAUAAGAGUGAAAGGCGCUUUCGGGUGUCGUUGAUGGAUGGACCCGCGGUGCAUUAGCUAGUUGGUGAGGUAACGGCUCACCAAGGCCACGAUGCAUAGCCGACCUGAGAGGGUGAUCGGCCACACUGGGACUGAGACACGGCCCAGACUCCUACGGGAGGCAGCAGUAGGGAAUCUUCGGCAAAGGACGAAAGUCUGACCGAGCAACGCCGCGUGAGUGAAGAAGGUUUUCGGAUCGUAAAACUCUGUUGUUAGAGAAGAACAAGGACGUUAGUAACUGAACGUCCCCUGACGGUAUCUAACCAGAAAGCCACGGCUAACUACGUG
rnacentral:rRNA from 1 species